AUUGAACGCUGGCGGCAGGCCUAACACAUGCAAGUCGAACGAGUGGCGGACGGGUGCGUAAUGUAUGGGAAACUGCCCGCUGGAGGGGGAUAACUACUGGAAACGGUAGAUAAUACCGCAUACCAUCGGAUGUGCCCAGAUGGGAUUAGCUAGUAGGUGGGGUAACGGCUCACCUGGGCAACGAUCCCUAGCUGGUCUGAGAGGAUGACGAGCCCCCCUGGAAUUGAGAAACGCUCCAGACUCCAACGGAAGGCAGCGGUGGGGAAUAUUGCACAAUGGGCGCAAGCCUGAUGCAGACAUGCCGGUGUGAGGAGGAGGGCCUUCGGUUUGUAAGGUACUUUCAGCGAGGAGGCGUUACUCGCAGAAGAAGCACCGGCUAACUACGUGCCAGCAGCCGCGGUAAUUC
rnacentral:rRNA from 1 species